UUACGGGGUGCAGCAGGCGCGAAACCUUUACACUGCACGACAGUGCGAUAAGGGAAUCCCAAGUGCGUAGGCAUAGAGCCUACGCUUUUGUCCACCGUAGGGAGGUGGACGAAUAAGGGCUGGGCAAGACCGGUGCCAGCCGCCGCGGUAAUACCGGCAGCCCGAGUGAUGGCCGAUCUUAUUGGGCCUAAAGCGUCCGUAGCUGGCCGCACAAGUCCAUCGGAAAAUCCACCCGCUCAACGGGUGGGCGUCCGGUGGAAACUGUGUGGCUUGGGACCGGAAGGCGCGACGGGUACGUCCGGGGUAGGAGUGAAAUCCUGUAAUCCUGGACGGACCGCCGAUGGCGAAAGCACGUCGCGAAGACGGAUCCGACAGUGAGGGACGAAAGCUAGGGUCUCGAACCGGAUUAGAUACCCGGGUAGUCCUAGCCGUAAACAAUGCCUGCUAGGUGUGGCUCCCACUACGAGUGGGUGCUGUGCCGUAGGGAAGCCGCUAAGCAGGCCGCCUGGGAAGUACGUCCGCAAGGAUGAAACUUAAAGGAAUUGGCGGGGGAGCACAA
rnacentral:rRNA from 1 species